rnacentral:rRNA from 1 species
GGGGCGUAGCAAUACGCUCGCUGGCGACCGGCAAACGGGUGCGGAACACGUACACAACCUUCCUUGAAGUGGGGAAUAGCCCGGGGAAACCCGGAUUAAUACCCCGUAAUAUAAUGAAGCGGCAUCGUUUUAUUAUUAAAGCUCCGGCGCUUUAAGAUGGGUGUGCGACUGAUUAGGCAGUUGGCGGGGUAACGGCCCACCAAACCUACGAUCAGUAACUGGUGUGAGAGCACGACCAGUCACACGGGCACUGAGACACGGGCCCGACUCCUACGGGAGGCAGCAGUAAGGAAUAUUGGUCAAUGGACGCAAGUCUGAACCAGCCAUGCCGCGUGGAGGAUGAAGGUCCUCUGGAUUGUAAACUUCUUUUAUCUGGGAAGAAACCCAUGAAUUCUUUUGUGGUUGACGGUACCAGAUGAAUAAGCACCGGCUAACUCCGUGCCAGCAGCCGCGGUAAUACGGAGGGUGCAAGCGUUAUCCGGAUUCACUGGGUUUAAAGGGUGCGUAGGUGGGUUGGUAAGUCAGUGGUGAAAUCUCCAGGCUUAACUUGGAAACUGCCAUUGAUACUAUCAAUCUUGAAUACCGUGGAGGUCAGCGGAAUAUGUCAUGUAGCGGUGAAAUGCUUAGAUAUGACAUAGAACACCAAUUGCGAAGGCAGCUGGCUACACGGAUAUUGACACUGAUGCACGAAAGCGUGGGGAUCAAACAGGAUUAGAUACCCUGGUAGUCCACGCCCUAAACGAUGGAUACUCGACAUACGCGAUAUACUGUGUGUGUCUGAGCGAAAGCAUUAAGUAU